CACACAUAGUGGUGUAUAUACGUCACUGCUCCUCUCCCAAUUCGGUCCACGCCUUCCUUCCCCUGCUGGGUCCACAGGCUCUAGGUCCAUCCACCUCACACAAACUGACUCCCAUUUGUAUAAUGGAUGUGUUAAUAGACUAUGGAUCAUGGAAGGAGGCACAUUCUAGAAACUAGAUGAUGAUACCAGUGAAACACUUUCUAAAUUCCAGCUACUCAGACAUUCUCAUUUUAGGAUGACAUCUAAGCAGUACAUAGUUUUCCAGGUCACAUUUAAUUACUCUUCUGGGAACACCAAACGAAAGUAAUAAAGUCCUCUUCCCUCUGGCAAAAUAGAAAAUGGAUUUGGUGACUUACUUUCCUUAGAGGGAGCGAGACAAGCAGUGAUUGUUGCCCAGACCAAUAAAACAUGGAGGAGAAGAAGACU
ensembl:lncRNA